AUUGAGGAGCAUGAUUAUCAAACCAAGCUUCGCAAUGUCGUUAAGUUUUUGAAAGACGGCGAUAAAGUGAAAUGCUCCGUGCGUUUCCGCGGCCGUGAAAUCACCCAUGCUAACAUCGGUCAGAAGAUCUUGGAGCGCGUGAAAACGGAAGUGGCGGAUCUCUGCGUCAUUGAGCGUCAACCGAAAUUGGAAGGCCGCAGCAUGAUUAUGAUUUUGGCUCCAAAAGCCUAAGAGAAAUUAGAGGAGGAAGUACUACAAUGCCUAAAAUGAAAACACAUAGCAGCCUGAAAGGCCGCUUCAAAAUUACCGGUACUGGUAAAGUUAAACGUUAU
rnacentral:misc_RNA from 1 species